AGUGUCAGUGUGCAAUGAUGUUCGAAGGUCGUCCAUUGUUGAGUUUGGAGGCAACUCCACACCAAUACGCACUUGUCGAGGCAAAGGAGAUGGUUGAGCAGCUGCUGGUCGGGUAGGCAAUUGAACGCUUACACAGUGAAAUGGAUCAAACGUGCAGGAUGUUCGCUCACACUUUGCACAUGUGAGUGCUGACCUACAAUUUGAAUGUUACAUAUGAAAUAAAAAUUUUAACGAAAUAUAUUAACAUU